GUCGUUGUCACCGUUCUCCUGGUGUCACUCGCUCUCGUGUCGCUGAGCGGCACCGCUGGCAGCGGGUCUCCUGUCCUCCCGCUCUCCCCCUCCGCGGUGAAAUGGUACAGCCCGGCGGCCGGUCGGAGCGCCGGGCGCCCCCUGGCGGCGCGGGCGGGAAGGGCGGCUCCCCCCGCGGCCGCUCCAACCGGGAGAGCCCCGGGAAGCGUCGGGAGCAUCGGGAUAAUCGGCACCGCUCCCUUGUCCCGCCGCACCGGCCUCGGAUGGCUUGAAAACAAGGACGAGCUCGGCUGUCCCCGCCCCGCAGCGAGGGCCGUGACCUGCCCUGCAGAAAAUAGAUUUCCAUGGGAACUUUUGGAGCAGCACUCGACCUUGUCUUCAAGAAGCUCUGGGCCAUGACUCAUUUGGCAAUUCCUCACAAAAACAACGGCUCCUGGAUCCUUAAAAAACCAACUCCUAAUCACACUCUGUUCUGUGCUGAUAAGCAAUUCAUAAACCCACACAUAUUAUUUAUGUCCAAUGUCCUUCACUCCUGCUCCAGUGCACUUAAUUCAGCUUUUUAAUAAGGAAACUUCAGGCUGUGCAAUAAAUGAACUGAGGGAGAGUUUGAUUUA